AAAGGGUUUGUAUAUUUACUUUUCUUUUGAUGUGUAGUUUGUAUAAAGGUAAUACUAAGAUUAUAUAUGUUUGUUUCUGUUCUUACACAUGCAUUCCUCUAUCUAUACACUAAACAGGGUUACCAUGGAAACGUACCUCUUCAUCUAGGCAAUGGUAUAAACUGAUGACCGGCGUUCAAGUCCCUGGCAAAGAGAAAUCCAGCUGUCGAUCAAGCGCUACAGGUUUAGCUUUAGAUAAUCUAAGCCUUGCUAAGACCUGAAAAUAAAUGUCAGGCAAAACUGAAACAAAAGCAAAAUAACUGGAUGCACUUAAAGAGCACCUAAUCUAUCUUGUAUAUUUUCGCUUCGUAAUACUGUAUGUUUAGUGUAUGCUGUUUUGUCAGGGAUCUGUUUGCAGUGGCUACUUGGUUGUUUUUGUGGUGGUGUUUGUUGUGGUGUUUUUGUGUAUAUGGAGGUGUCUGUGGUGGUUUCAAUGUGGUCUUCUCGGUUUUAUUCUUGAUGGUUGUAUUGUUUUGUUGAAAACGGGCAUUUGGUGCGUUUUGUUUGUUGUAUUGGGCUGUUCGUCAUGGUGUUUUUUCUUUCUGCCAUUACCAAUGUAUUAUUAGUCGCUUUGUAUACAGUAGAAAAUUAUUAGAAUAAGUUCAAUAUUAUAUUGUGUUAUAACUUUACUUGUCCAGCAAACUUUAGAUACCCGGAAACACAUAUGAAGAUAUAUGCGGACGAUUAGGCAUCAUGUGCAGACGAAGGCUUGGACUGGGAAGCGUGCGCCGUUGUUUUAUUUCUGCUUUUUAUUCCUUUUGUUUUGCAUUGCUUUUCCACUAGGCUAUUGGGGCACUUGAAGAACGAAGACGCAGACGGAUAUUGAAGAUGCAUACCAGGCAAAAUUUGGGUUACUGUUUAUCACGAACAGGUGCGUAUGUUGCUUUUUAUAUUAUUCUAUUUUGUAUGCAUCUCUUCGCAGAAUUUUCAAGUUGAAUACAAGCCAGUGUAAAGAUGUCUUAUUGUAGAUGACACAAUGGUCUAGUGGAUGGUGAAGAUAGCGCGGCUGAUGUUGACUGUACAGACACGCGUUAAGAUGUCAUGCUGUAGAUGUGACAAUGGUUUUGUGGACGACGCAGCUUGGUUCUUCUUUUUGGACGCACUGAGGAAGCAGAGGUCAAUUUUCCACUUGGAGUAAUUCAGUAGCAUGGCAAUGUGGACACAGAUCCUGGUUUUGGUAAAAGAAGUACUCGAAAUAUCCGACGAAAAGCAAUUUCUUGGAUUAUACACGAAGAAAAUGUUAGUUAAUGGAACAAUAGCAGCAGUAGAACUACCUUGCUGGUACCCAAACGAAGCCGGUCAUCAGAUGUGCAUUGAAACCCUAUCAAACCCUUGCUUUACCAUGGUAAUCAGCCGUUAUCAACAAGGCAAGGUAGUGCAUGGAUAUAGUGGAAUUCAAGCCUUGGUGGACCUUUCUUCUGUAUUUGUCCAGUCUUGUUGAUGGUAGACAGCUGUUCUAUACAUCGUACACAACAGAGAAACCCCCUCGGACGAAGAAUUCGUUCAGAUCUAAAAGGCAAGAAGACAGUUUUUGCCAUUAUUGAAAGACAUAGGGGAAAAAAGCAAUGACAGAAAACAAAUAUCACCAUACCGUCUUGUCUUGAAUGUUUCCAACAGCUGACAGACCGAUGUAAGCCAGGUAAUACCUUUCAGAAUUAUUGGUUGAUAUUUGACUCUGUCUGUAAGCAGUUAUGCCUCCAAUAUGUAGUGGAGAGACAUACUGUUUUAGUGCUGUCCGUCCGUCCGUGUGUAUGUCCGUCGGUCUGUCACAAAGUUUAUCCACGCAACUCUUUCGACACCACUGAAUGGAUUUACACCAAAUUUCGCAAGAGCGAUCAUUGCGUGGCCUAAUUGUGCAUAUCAUCGGCAGUUUUUGGUUCGAUGAUUUCUUGUGGAAUCAUGACCCUUGAUUCGCCAACUGUUUUGAUGUUUUAGCCUCUUCUCUUUUUUGAUUUGGCGGAUUUCCACCAAACCG